rnacentral:rRNA from 1 species
UACGUAGGGUGCGAGCGUUGUCCGGAAUUAUUGGGCGUAAAGGGCUCGUAGGCGGUCUGUUGCGUCAGGAGUGAAAACUCGGGGCUUAACCCCGAGCCUGCUUCUGAUACGGGCAGACUAGAGGUAUGCAGGGGAGAACGGAAUUCCUGGUGUAGCGGUGAAAUGCGCAGAUAUCAGGAGGAACACCGGUGGCGAAGGCGGUUCCCUGGGAAUGUCCUGACGCUGAGGAGCGAAAGUGUGGGGAGCGAACAGG